UUGUGGGUAGCUUAAGGGCUAAAGCUUCGGAUUCUUACUCCGGUGAUGUCUUCUGGACUCUGCAAU
rnacentral:tRNA from 1 species